rnacentral:rRNA from 1 species
AUUGAACGCUGGCGGCAGGCCUAACACAUGCAAGUCGAGCGGAUGAAGGGAGCUUGCUCCUGGAUUCAGCGGCGGACGGGUGAGUAAUGCCUAGGAAUCUGCCUGGUAGUGGGGGAUAACGUCCGGAAACGGGCGCUAAUACCGCAUACGUCCUGAGGGAGAAAGUGGGGGAUCUUCGGAUCUCACGCUAUCAGAUGAGCCUAGGUCGGAUUAGCUAGUUGGUGGGGUAAAGGCCUACCAAGGCGACGAUCCGUAACUGGUCUGAGAGGAUGAUCAGUCACACUGGAACUGAGACACGGUCCAGACUCCUACGGGAGGCAGCAGUGGGGAAUAUUGGACAAAGGGCGAAAGCCUGAUCCAGCCAUGCCGCGUGUGUGAAGAAGGUCUUCGGAUUGUAAAGCACUUUAAGUUGGGAGGAAGGGCAGUAAGUUAAUACCUUGCUGUUUUGACGUUACCAACAGAAUAAGCACCGGCUAACUUCGUG